CUGCCCUGAAGUCCUGAAGGGAUCAGGUGAAGAUGGCGAAGGAGUGGUGGAGGGGGGGGCUUGGUGUUAACCUUACAGUAUUUCUUUCCAUUCCAAUAGUUUCCUGGAGGAUCCAUAUCUGUCCAAUGAAAGACUUCAGACAGAAGAAACAAUGACCCUAGAGUUUGUUGCUGUAAUGUCAAAAAAAUCCAGAUAUUCUGAAAAGUCAGACAAGAUCUUUAUUGCUUUUUACAAGCAACCUGGAAAAUACCAGAAGUUUGGUGCUCUGAAAAGAAGCUCUAAGAACAACUGUAUUGUGGGCAGUGCAACGAUCCCCAUUUCUGACCUACAGAGAGGACCAAUUUUUUAUAAAUAUGCUAUCUGUAGCAAUAUGCUCUCAAAUGACUAUGAAAAGAGAUCAUAUGAUUUAGAGCAUAUUUAUGGAACAGACUCCAAAAAUAUAGAGAGUCAAUUACACCGAGUCAUAAACAUUCCCAAGGAAGACAUCAAAGCAGGUGGAACAUGGACCAUUUUUGAACACACGAAGUGCCAUUUUCCUGAAAAAGAUAAUCACUGGAAAUACUUGCGUUUCUUCAAACGUCCUUCAAAAACAAUGCCCCAAAAGUCAGUCAACUGUGGUAUCAUAGAAUACCUUGCAGAUGAAUUUCUCUGCACCAUCAGGCUCCAGAAGGGCUUUAAGAAUAUAGAAAGGAAACUGGAGAUCUACACGAAGAGCUUCAAAAUCUAUCUCGGGGAUGCUGCAAAAGGCGAACCCUUUUCUCCAACUAAUCUCACUGAGCAAGUGUUGAACUGUAACAUGAUAAAUUUUAUCGACACGAUCAUUGGAUACCUGGAGAAAGAGGAGCACAAGGAUGAAGGGCUGCUUUUUGCCUUAUACACCUCAUCUUGUUAUAAUGUCCCACUAAGUAAAGAUGUAAUCAUCAAGGCUGAAAAACUCUUCCAGAACAUCGGCCCCUUUCAAGGCAAAUUCCAGCAUCUGAGAGGACAGAGGUAAUUAAAAUUGUCAC
rnacentral:lncRNA from 1 species